CCACCGACGAGACGGACUCAGGAGGGGCGAACGGUGGCAGAGGAGAGGGAAGGGUCGCGCCUGGUGGGGGCCUGAGAGCCACCGGGCUGCGGUGCGCGAGUGUGGACACCGCCCCGCCUUCUGCGUCUACAGCCCUGGGUUCUGGGACCUUUGGAAACCGCUUUGGACGAAGCUGAGCAUCUCUUUCCCCACGCUGACCUCCCCCAUAGACUCCGGAUGGGAGUAAAUGAGGCUCCUGGGAAAUCCAGAAACUCUAGAGAAGCUUGUUUGCCAAACCUUGCUUUGGGCGGUGGAGACAGAAUAUCAUGUCCCAGAUCAGCGUGUGGUGACUGUGGAGGCAUUUACACACAGCACACUCCAGCUCUGCCACUGGGCCGGCUGAGGUGGCUGCGGUACACGGCGCCCAUCCUGAGCCCCAGGUUCCUCACAUGUCAACAGCAUGAAAAGUGCCUCUAAGACAUCCACAGGUGUGCAGUGUUAAAGCAGGCAGCGCCUCAGCUUGGUUAGCUCCCUUAAGGACUGCGGCUCCCUUAGGACAAGGCUCUGUCCCUCAGAGCACUGAGUGCGAUCUCAUGCUGGCAUCUUAGAGACAUUGUAUUCACCAGGUAAGAUGGAUUCACAUCUGCUGGGUGCACGAACACUUCCUCCUUCCUUGCCACCAGCCAGCAUCACAACCAGCCUGGCCAGGCUCCCGUCCCAGCCCAGCCUAGCAGCUAACCCCAGCUCCAUCCCCCAGCAAGCCCCUCUGCCUGCACCUCAGCUUCUUCAUGGAAGACGAGUCAGGUCAUGAUGCCACCAGGGAGCGUGUUUCCAUGUUGAACUGAGACACUAAGCCCUUGACAAAUGUUGGCCAAGAAAAAAAA
rnacentral:lncRNA from 1 species